rnacentral:rRNA from 1 species
GCCGCGUGUAUGAAGAAGGCCUUCGGGUUGUAAAGUACUUUCAGCGGGGAGGAAGGCGAUGNGGUUAAUAACCGCGUCGAUUGACGUUACCCGCAGAAGAAGCACCGGCUAACUCCGUGCCAGCAGCCGCGGUAAUACGGAGGGUGCAAGCGUUAAUCGGAAUUACUGGGCGUAAAGCGCACGCAGGCGGUCUGUCAAGUCGGAUGUGAAAUCCCCGGGCUCAACCUGGGAACUGCAUCCGAAACUGGCAGGCUUGAGUCUCGUAGAGGGGGGUAGAAUUCCAGGUGUAGCGGUGAAAUGCGUAGAGAUCUGGAGGAAUACCGGUGGCGAAGGCGGCCCCCUGGACNAAGACUGACGCUCAGGUGCGAAAGCGUGGGGAGCCAAACAGGAUUANAUACCCUGGUAGUCCACGCCGUAAACNAUGUCGACUUGNAGGUUGUGCCCUUUGAGGCGUGGCUUCCGGAGCUAACGCCGUUAAGUCCACCGCCUGGGGAAGUACCGGCCGCAANGUUUAAAACUCAAAUGAAUUGACGGGGGCCCCCCACAA